CAGACAUAAUGAUUUAAUUACCUUGUUUUUUUGCUCAUUAACCAGUUAUUGUUGAGUUUGAAUAAAUCCAACCUGAUUAGCAGGGACGAGAAGGCUACCUCCGUAUUUCCUCAUUCAUGUUAUACCAUUUCUUUUCUUUGCCCGCUGAUCUUUAAAGAAAUUGGGCUUCUUUGUGGGGAAUGCUUCUAUUGCCUCUUGAACUCAGGAAUUCUGAAUUUGUGGCUCCUUUAAAUAUCCUUGUCCUGGCUUGCUGGAGGUUUGGCUCACUCAAGAUGCUAUUUUCUCUGCCUGUUUUGAUUAGCCCAUCUUAGUCUUGGUAAUCAUAAAUUUAUUUAUUUGCUUAUUAUUUAUAAAUGAAUAAGUUUAUAAUUUUGAAAUACUUUAAUUAAUAAGCAGGAAGAAUACAUUCAACAAAAUAAUAAUGCCUUUCAGAACAAUUUUUCUUCUCUUUAGUAGAGUUCUUUAUCUUACUUGUAAGAAAGAACCAAAGCUCUAUUUCCCAGUAGCCCUACAGGCAGUGUCUAUGCCCUGCUUGGUGGCUGUGUUUUGAUCUAUCAGCAGGUCUACGAAGGUUUAAUAGCAAGGCAGUACAUCUUUGGCUGAUGUAGCAUUUUGUAAGACCUUCUGGCUAAGCUCAUGAUGGUUUAACUUGUUGCCCUUCAAACAGAGAUGUCUCUUAGAACAGAGUUCAUAUCUCCACAUGGGCAGCUGAUGCCCUUGGUGCUCCUCUCCUCAGUAUAUAUGUGAUAUGGGCUUUGAUUUUUCCUAAUGCUCAGGGCAGCCUAGCCUGACUGAUGAUACGCACUUUCAACAUCCUUGAUGAACUCCGAGUGGUCAGCAUCCCAGUCUUCAUUAUUGCCCUCUACGAGCCCCCACUUCCGACCUGCCCCAGACUCCAUCUUCAGGCUGUUCUCAUCUUUCCACAUAGAACCGAGGUUCUUCACCAUGGAUUUCCCAUCCCUCGUCUCUUGAUUGUUUCCUCCAUCUUUCUUCAAUUCUCCUUCUCCCCAAGCUUUUCUGUAUACAACCCACUGUGUUUUAUCUGGGUCAGCGUCUUCUCAAUAUCCCAUAGGCCAUUUCCAUCCAAUUUUAAAGGCUUGAAAGAGGAUCCAGCUGUCCACUCAUAGAACUGAAGCCACUUUUGUCCCUUGGUGGAAUGUUUUCUUAUACAUGGUAAUGUUUAGAGAACAUUACAAUAGAAAGAGUAGGAGGAGGAAGAAGGAGAGGAAACUAAAGAGAGAGGAUGAAUAACUUAAGUAGGAUAUAGGGCUGAGGUAAGGCAACUACCCUGGGCAAGCCUAACUUCAAAACAAUGUGUCCCAGGAUUUUCCAUUAACUCCUUAAUAGCCAAGUAAGAGAAAUAUCAACAUAGGCUUAUGAGAUGGAAAGGUGCCUACAACUCAUUGAGAGUCCAUUUGGUGCAAGGUUAUGAUUUUAUAGUUUUUAUAGUAAUGUGUAGAAUUGAGUCCUGUAAUUCAACAUAUCAGAAUCCUCUUUUAGUUAUACUACAACUUCAUAUUGCAAAGGAUCAAAUCAUAGACCCCACAAAAUACAGAAAUCAGAUUGAAACUAUAGACCAGAUAUUAUGCUACAAGUCAUAUUUAUAGUUUUACAUUCAUGUGUUAGUUGUAAAACUGUUUUGUAGCCAAUGUUUUUAUCAAUAAUUGUAAAUAUAAUCAAAAAUUUUGUGUAAUAUAUUAACUUCUUGACAUUUAUCUUGAGACAAUAUUUUAGAAAAGGGGCUUUGUGCAGACUUGAUUAAUAAAGACAAUGAUAAGUAGAAGUAUAUAAAAUUUCAAGUUAGAGAAAAUUUAUAGCACAUCACCUUAAUAUCUUACAAUUAAGUUAUAGUAAAUAUUAGGUGUGUACAUAAACCUUAGUAUAAUAUUCCAGGUUUUACAAAUAUGGGCUAUGGAGUCAUAUAUGUUUAAUAUUAAAUAUGCUAAUACAAAAUUAUUUAUUUUGCACUUCAGUCAAACAUGGAAAAUAUGUUAGAGUAAUGAAUGAAAUGCAUGUAUUUAUUCCAUCUCAGUUUAUUCAUAUUGACUUUCUGUAAAAAAAAAUCUAUUUCUUUUGUAGUGUUUGACAUAAUACUAAAUAGAGCCUAUGAUGUCCUGCUGAUGAAAUUUUACAGUCACAGCACAUGGAUUCAUGUGUCUUAAACAGUUAGAACACUAAGUGGAAAGGAGACAAAGACGAAAAUCAACACCUACAGUUCCAAACCUUGUUUUAAGGAUCAGAUUAUUAACCACUGAACCACAGAGAGAGUCACUGCAACAUGAGUCGCUAAGAACACUAAUGUUAUUUUGAAGAUCAUAGUGAAGAUUACAGUGGCCAAGAAACUGAGUCAGAAAACGAACACCUGUAAAUGUUUUUCAUAGCUGUACACUUAACUAUUCUAAAUACAGAUUUAUACUCAAUGAUGAAGUUAAGACAAAACUUGUUAAUUUCAUAAUCCUGGGGAAUUAUCAGCAGAUAGAAUUUAUAUGUCCAUCAUCAGUUCAUUGGAGAAAGUGGUUGAUCAAUUACAUAAUCUUUGAAAUUGCAGUCAUUCUUUAGAAUCAAUUCUUUUGGAAAAGGAUCUUAUUUAGCUUUAAAAGGCAGUGGUAUAAAUCACGUACCUGAUUGGUUGGACACCUUUUGAGAACAAAGGAGUUUGUUAAAUGCAUCUUUCAUGUCCUUAUUUUUCAGGCUGCAUAUAAGAGGAUUGGAAAAAAGGGGCAAACACAGAAAAUGUAAGAACAGUGGUGUUGUACCAGAACUGUGUAUAGGUAGCAGAGUCGAAGAUCCUUAAGGGUCACACUGCCGGAAAACAACAGGAAGACAGCAUUGUGGGUAGUACAAGUGGGAAAAGCUUUUUUGUGAUCCUCUGUUGAGAUGCUCAGAAUAACAACAAUAAUUCUUAUGUAAGAAAGACAAAUAAUCAGACUUGUGAUCAGAAUAGAGCAUGUAUCACGUCUUGAACCAAAACCACUGAGGCAUCUGUACAGGCUACCUUUAACAAAGGGGUGAAAUCACAGAAUAUUCUUUGCUACUUAAAAAAAAAACUUGAGAGACAUUUCCAGCUAUCUCAUAGAUAUUUAUCAUUGACUGUCCCUAUGACUCCCUUCUUCUCAACAUUGUUUUUUUUCCUAUGCUGUGUUUGCUUCACAUUCCAUGGCUAUGGGAAGAGUGGCCAGCAUAGCACAGUCUCCUGUGCGCUCAUCAGACUGGACUGUGAUCUGUAACAGUUGAGUGGGCAAAUGGCCUUUCUAACAAUAUCUACGUGUUCAGUGCCUCCUUUCUUCAUUUUUAAUAAGACAAUCACAGAGAGGUAGAUCUGGUAGGGCAUGCACUUAAAGUCUUAUCAUCAGCUGAAUGAUAUUGUUAGUGCACAAAGACUUGAGGUUACGGGCCAGCGUAAUGCACCCAUAGAUGAGGUGCAGUCUACAUCACAGGCCAAUCUCAGGAGUUUGCUUACUGUCUGGAGGUGACAUAAUUAGCAAAAGGACAGCCCAUCACUAGAAAACAUGUCUCUUUAGCUCCAGAGUCUAUACUUUUGGCCGAAUUGGUCACAGUCUUGCUUAAUACUGAAUUUAUCACUAAUUUUUCAGGUUGGAAAAGAAUAUUACAUUUAAAAGCAGAGAACUAAAGUUCACUGUAACAGCAUGCAUUUUGAAAGAUUACAUAAGCCCCAGAAGGGUUACAUAAGAGGCAAACUUCGCAAAUAUCACCUUAUGUGAAAUGCUAUCUGAGUUAAGCAUCCCAUUAUACAGCACUGUCAAAUUAAAUACCUGGGUGAACAUCCUUAAGUCUUUGAAAAUGGAAGAAUAAUAUGAUGAUCAUAGAAGAAAUAAUUUCUGAAAACCUUGCAUAUUCGUCUAGAUCAUUUUCUAUUUGGUGUAUACAGUAGGGUGUGGAAUUAAAGCUAAAGAUAUAUUUAGUAGAUGGUAAACAAUUAUACUAUGCCUCUGUGCUGGUCUCUCAGUGCUAGAGAGAAAUGGGAUAGCAUAGAUGACACUAGAUAGUUGUUAAAGGAUAUUUUGAGAUGCUGGAAGCCUCUCUUUUGCUAAAAUUGCUACUUAUUUAAUUUCAUCUAUCAAGUUUAUAGUUAUCAUAUAACAUACACAUUCAUAAGUAAAUGGCAACAAUGCAAGGCUUAUUGUGCGCAUGCCAGGAGUUAGACACGCUUUCUCACUCUUUGAAUGGUGGAUUUCCAGGCUUAAGCAGUACCAGAUUCCACCAUGUGGCUGAACAAAAUGACAAAUACAGUAUUCAUAGUAUUCAUGGUUACCUCCCAGCAAUCAGAAUGUGCAUACUUACUUCAGAAAUCCAUGUUCCCCAAUGUAGCUUUGAGGCUUCUUGAUGGUAGAGACCCUGAAUGGGAAUAUGUAAUAACAAGCUCCACUUACUGAUGUCCCAGUCUGUAAGAGGAAAGGAAGGCAGAGGAAAUUCACAGAAGGUUGACUCUAAGCCAUCUUCUAAUUUAACUGUUGUAGAUUAGAAUUGUGUACUAAUACAUUUCCAUGCAAGGGGAAUGUACUUUAUCAUACUUCUCACAGAAGAGAACAUUAAUCUUAAGCAAAGGAAUUUGGUUAUUCCUCCCACUCUGUGUAAAUUAAUUUGUGAAUAUAAUCCAACUGAUUUUUUAUUCUUUCAGUUUAGUUGUUUUUUGUUUUGAGAUAGGGUUUCACCCUAUACCCCAUGUUGGUCUAGAAUGUUCCACCUGAACCUAGGCUGUGUUCCACCUGAACACAGCAAUCCUCAUGCCUUGAUCUCCCACCUCUGGGAUGAUAGGCACGAGCUACUGUACUCAGCUAACUCAACUGAGUUUUCUCAAUUUUUUUCUUGAGUCGCUUGUCCUCCUUCCUUUAUCAACCUGAACAUGAAAGGAAAUGGACAGCGACCAUCAGUCUUUGGCGUGGGCCAUACAUUUUCUAGGGGUGAAGGGGCUGGGGCAUGAGCUAGAAGAGAAGAACAUGUUGAAGUUCGGCUACCAGAUUUCUUCAAAAAAUAGUUGAUGCUCCUUUCUGAAAGGAUUCUGGUACAAAAGGGUCUAUCCUGUGCCCUUAACACAGCAUUCAGCUCUCACAGAAACAUCACAUCCUUUUCCCAUAAAUAGUACACUCUGCUUAUCUUUCCUAGUGUGUUGAAAGGGUGCUGAGCGCACACAUGCUAGAUGAAUUGCACCUUGUAUAACUGUAUUCUCGACCAGCAGCAUGAGUCUGAGGCAAAGACAGCAUACAUUCUGUGUUUGCUAAAGGAGAUGUUGAAUUAAGCAGAAAAGUAUAGUUUGGAGUGAACAAUAUCUAGAGGAAUCUAAAUUGACAGAGUGAAUGGGGGAGAAACCGUGGACACUGGUGUGAGUAAGGCAGUAUGGAGACUCUGAGGUUCCCGUUGCGAUCCACACAGUUAAGGUGGGAUUCUCCAGGGAAGGGACAUCCAAGUGAACAAAAGAUGAGUCAGGCGCCAAGGACUGAAUGGUUCAAUUUUAUUGUAAAUAUUUGGGAAUAAUCUUGCCUAGGAAGGAGGUUUGGGUCUCCUUCACCAAUACAGCAAAAAUCUGAAAAAGGUUGUUUAUGGUGGAGAUAUGGAGAAAAGGGCACACACCCCAAACUUAGAGUCUCUUAGAAUAGAGCACUGAAUGAUGUUGACUCAUUUCCUUAGCAUCUCAGCCUCGAACCCAGGAAACUGAGAAGAUGGAGAUUAGAUUUGCUAAUAGUGAUAUCUGUGUUGUCAAGUUCUAGGCUAUGAACAUCUGUUUCAUGCUUCUUUAGGGAUGAGUCAGUUUAGGAAGCCCUGUCUCAUUUUUACCUCUUUGUCCCUGCGAUUCAUGCUGAUGACUGAACAGUUUGCUUCUUUGUUGUCAAGGUGCUUUUCUUGGAGACUUUAUUAAAGGAACGAAUAGUGAUGAAUGGCUGGGAGAAGAUGCUCAAACUGGAGUUCCCAUGUGAGCCUUUCUGUAACCCACCAUCUCUGUCAGCUUGCUGAUGUUUUCAGCAUCUGGGCAAAUAAUAUUAAUAACAUGGAGGCUGUGUUUGCAAUUGCUUUAAGAAAUCUUUCUGCAAAGUGAGCAUUUUCUUUAUGUUAAAGCUUUCUCUGGAGUCUAUGCACUGAUUCUUAUGUGGUUGCCAGUGCUCAAAAUCAUUUGUACAAAGUUCUUUUUAUUGGACUUUGGAGUGUCUGACCAUUGUAUUCAUAGUUGGACCUAAAGACUAAUUUAGUAAGUUUACAUUGAUUCCAAUGACUUGCUUCCAAUCCCUUAUCAUCUGGCACAAGCAAUGUAAUUUAAUUUGUGCAUCCAAUCUCUCUCCAAUAAGUCUUGUAUCACUUUUGAGUUGAAAAGCUUAACUCAAGACCACCCAACAGAAGAUUUUGUCCAGCCAUUACUAUGGUUCUCUUAUGGAAAGGGCUGCAUCAACAACGAGGGCCAUAUAGCUAAAUACCAACAUUUGUGCUGGGGAGCUGGGCUACAUAAUCAGAAAGGAGGACUGGAGAGAGGGGAUAAGAAUCGUAGAAAAAUCAAUUCAGGAAAUUACCUGAGGAUAAUUUGAGGGGAACUUAUCAGUUUAAGACUUGAAUCUUGUCUGACUUGUUCUGCCCAUGGAAGAAUUUGAUCCAAGCUAAAUGGAGCAAAUCCCCAGAAUGCUAGCAGACACUUCACAUCUUAUUCUUAAUCCUUAAAUCAAUGAUUGAUAAGGACAUCCUGAUCAAAUGAGAUACUCUUGCUCCACCCCUCAGAAAAAGUCAAUUACCUCUUAAGUUACCCAGCAAGCUAAGGUAAUAGGUACGGGUUUAUAAAACAGGAUUGGAAGAAGAACGUUGUUUGCUUUUCUCAUUUGCAAUAGUUGCCUCGGAGUUAAAAGUUGCUUCUUGGCAGAGAGAAAGGGCUAUAAAGAAAGCUUCGGGUUGGUUUCUAGAAAUCUUACAAGAAACAAAAGGAAGCUGCUUUCAAAAACUAGAGUGGGUUUGCCAGCAAUUACGUUUUGCAAAAUGUAAAUAAAUAAAAAUAAAAUAAAAUAAAUAAUGCAUGCUGUUUUCAAAGACCCUGACAAACCAUGACAGAAGAAGGGCAAAAAAAAAUCAACUUUAUUUUUUCCUUUGGUUUUAGGGUGGCGAGUUUCAUGACAAAAAUAAAGUGAGUCUGUGUUCUCUAAGUAAUUUAUUAGUGCAUCUUGGCACAGCAGCACUAAUGGGCUUGCUGCCAGGUGUUCCGAGCUGCAGUUUGUCAUGUCUGACUUCUUAGUUCUUCCGAGCAAUUGAAGAAAUGGCCUUCUGCAGGCUGUCAGUGACAGAUUCUAGCGCACUCACAUAGAUAAAGCUCAAUUAGCUCCUGGAAAAAAAAUCUUUUAAAAAUGCAAUGAGCGGCACCAUGAAAGAUAGGUAGACGAUGUCACCUGAAACAAAAUAAAAUGUUACCAUUGAGGGAAGGACGUGUCCACAAUGAACAAGUGUGUUGUUGCCUUAUCGGAAAAUUCUCCCACUUAAAACAAAAAGGUGAUCGUUAUUAAUUACUUCAAGUGUUAGGAAGACCUUUGCUUUAGGAGCUUGGUCUGGUUGGAAAUUCUGAAGAGAUAGCACAUCAUUCUGGCCUCCAUCUUCUCAACCGUCCGUCUAUCUGUCUAUCCACUGAUGACCAAAGCCCAUGCUCCACAAAGUGCAAACGAUUCUCGCUUCAAACAGAACUAUCAAAGUAACUUCUUGGGCUGGGGAUGUAGCUAGUGGACAGAGUGUUUAUUUGGUACAUACGGCUCCUGGCUUUGCUCGGAAGUACUAUCUAAAGCUGGCAUGGUGAUGCACACCUGUAAUAUUAGCUCUCAGGGGGUGGAGGUAGAAGGAUCAGAAGUUCAGGGUCAUCCAAAACUAUACAAUGAGUUCAAGGCCAGCCUGGAAACAUGAAACCCUGCCUCAAACAAAAACAAAAACAAAAACAAACAAACAAACAAACAACAACAACAACAAAACUCCAAACAUGUGUGGCAACCUUAUAUGCUAUUCAAUUCAAAUAGUAGUUUGAAUGUGGUUGUUGCACAUUUUAAAAAUCAAGGCAUUUCACACAUAAGAAAAUCCAGGUUUUGACAUCUCUUAAUAUAUAAAAAUACUUGAAAAAGUGAAUAUCUGUUCCUUUAGUGUAAAAACGUAACCUACAAUGCUAAUUAAAUACCAGCUGCUCUCUGAAAGGUGCCCAUCACAGAAGUCCACAGGGCUGGCCUCACCCAGCCAUUUGUUUGUCUCACCCUAGUCUGAACAGGAGGACCCUGAUUUGAAUGCAAAGAACAGUUCUCUAACAGUCAUUCUGAGGUUUUCCUGCAAUAAAAUUACUUACUUUUUUUUUUUUUACUAAAGUUCAAGAAUCUUCAAUCUUGCUGGGUGUGGUAGUACAUGACUUAGUCCCAGUAUUCAGGAGGCAAAGUCAAGCAGAUCUCUGUGACUGUAAGACUAGACAUUGAGGUACAGAGCAGCUAGGGCUACAUACGGCCUAUCUCAAACAAACAAACAACAACAGCAGCAACAAUAUGUCCUAUGUCCUCAUCUUAAACAAAAAUAAAGUGGAUGGCUAUAAAGCGUGAUUAUUCUUCACAAAUUAAACUGGGAGCCACUGGUGUCAAAGAUCAAAUAGAAUCAUGGUCGUUAAGAAUAGAUGCCCAUCUUAAGAUCAUAAAUAAGACUCUGGUUAGGAUGUGAUAUAGAAAUAUGUUGUUUUUCCUAAUCACCGUACCUUACUCUUAAUGGCUAUUUCCCCCCCUUGAAAAAUAUCAGCUAACCGAAAUUACUCUACUGAGAAAAACUUAAAUGACUUACUGUCUGUCGUUGGCUUAGGCCAAAAUUUCAAUUUGGAGAUAAAAUCCACUACAUUUUAUGAACUAAUUUGCUCUCUGUGCGAGCGUUGAACUUGAUAGCUAUAUUUGUUCCUGGCACUGCUGAAUCAUAAUUACAGGAAAUGGUCUACAGCUAGAAUUCAAUUGGCACAAAGCCUAAAUGAAUUAAUAACAAUUCUGUCUUCCUUCCCUCCCUUCCCCCAGGAGCUUUUCUUUGACUCCUGACAGGCCUUAGCCAGAGAGCUCCUGUAAUCUAUUAUGAUAACAACAGUAUAAUCCCUUACCUUUGUGUGGGUGUCUUAACAGUUUUCAAAGUGUGCUCUCAGCUAUGCUAUGGUCUUUCAUUCAGCCCAUUGACUGAGAUAGGGAUAGAUAAAGAAACGAAGCCGAAUUUAUCUUGCACAUGGUUGCAGAGUGAAGAGCUGGUCCCUAGGCUUUAGAAAUUGAAGUUUGCUUUUGUUCUUUUACAUUAAGCCCAAAUUAAUUAAUUAAUUAAAAGCCUGAAUUUGUAAUGCAAACUUUGUCACCUAUUAAAAUAUCCUCAUGGGCUUAUUCCAAGUGGGUGCCACAUCGUGUAUAAAUAGAGCAUUAAGGAUCAUUAGCCAAUCUCUGGAAGUCUCCGGGAGCUGGGAUAGGAGCUCCCAUUCACAGGUGGAAUCCAGAAUCAUAUGAAUAUCUUCACCACAUUCCUGGGAGUUGUGUAAUUUGCACUGGUGACUUAAGUCCAUAAGCCCUUUCUGGAUAAGGUGGGCUUUUAAAUGUUUUUGUGUUUUGUUUUGUUUCUCAUCUAUUGGCAAAUAUCAGGAAGAAAUGAUAACAACUGAGACCAGUUGCAACAGAUGCCAUCUUGCAUUUCUCAUCAUCCCAGAGGUGCAUCUCUCUUCAAACCUUGUGCUUUGAGUGUUGGGAAUCCUCGGAAAUCCUGG
ensembl:lncRNA